AUUGAACGCUGGCGGCAGGCCUAACACAUGCAAGUCGAACGAGUGGCGGACGGGUGAGUAAUGUCUGGGAAACUGCCCGAUGGAGGGGGAUAACUACUGGAAACGGUAGCUAAUACCGCAUACCAUCGGAUGUGCCCAGAUGGGAUUAGUUAGUAGGUGGGGUAACGGCUCACCUAGGCGACGAUCCCUAGCUGGUCUGAGAGGAUGACUAGCCACCCGGGAACUGAGACAAGGUCCAGACUCCUACGUGAGGCAGCAGUGGGGAAUAAUGCGCAAUGGGCGCAAGCCUGAUGCAGCCAUGCCGCGUGUAUGAAGAAGGCCUUCGGGUUGUAAAGUACUUUCAGCGGGGAGGCGUUACCCGCAGAAGAAGCACCGGCGAACUCCGUGCCAGCCGCCGCGGUAAUAC
rnacentral:rRNA from 1 species